UACACAUGCAGUCGAGCGGUAACAUUUCAAAAGCUUGCUUUUGAAGAUGACGAGCGGCGGACGGGUGAGUAAUGCCUAGGAAAUUGCCCUGAUGUGGGGGAUAACCAUUGGAAACGAUGGCUAAUACCGCAUGAUGCCUACGGGCCAAAGAGGGGGACCUUCGGGCCUCUCGCGUCAGGAUAUGCCUAGGUGGGAUUAGCUAGUUGGUGAGGUAAUGGCUCACCAAGGCGACGAUCCCUAGCUGGUCUGAGAGGAUGAUCAGCCACACUGGAACUGAGACACGGUCCAGACUCCUACGGGAGGCAGCAGUGGGGAAUAUUGCACAAUGGGCGCA
rnacentral:rRNA from 1 species